CGAAAAAUCAAAAUACUCUCCUUACAAUGGUGGAAGGCGAUGUCGAGGAUUGCUCCGUCUUCCCUCCGAGCAACCACGAAGGUCUUCCCAUCCAAUCCCAAAACCAGCAAGAUCCACCUUCAUCAUCCUCACUGUCAUCGUCUCUACCUUCCCAUCUCAACGUCCGCGGCACAACUCUUGGCUUUGGCCUCACCAGGUGGUUCGCUUUUGGGUUGCGCCACUUACAUUCCAAACUUCUUGCCAUAGCUUCCUCGUUUCGACAUUAUGCCAACACAAGACCGACACUUGGGUCGUUUGGACCUGCCACCGGCGUCAUCACGGCGCUGGUGUUAGCAUUUUUCUUCAUUACGCUCCGCCGGCGCCGGCGCAGUCGGCCGCAUUCGUGGGAGGGGACUCUAGAUCAUUUGAUGCUUCUUAUCAAAGAGAGAGAUGAGAAAAUUAUUCAACUCUUGUAUCAAAUCAUCCAAAUGAAUGAGGCGCUACUGACCCAUCACAGAGUUGGUGCAGUCGAAACCCAAAAGCAAUUAACUUGACAAGGAGGUAGGUGAAACACAUUGUACAAAACUGAUGAGAUUUCAAGUGUGCUUUUGGGAUGUUGGUUCUUCAAGAAUUGGUUAGAGGGAAAGUGAAAAGCAAAGACACAAAAACAUGAAAUUUAGUGAAGCCCUUGUAACAGCAAAGCACAACAGAGGCGUUUUCCCAACUUCUCUACCAUGCCAACUAGAUGACAGCGGCAGCACCCAACAAACUCUAGAGAGAAUGGACACCUAACCAUGCUUCUUAAUCCACCCAAUAAUGCAACCAUAAUUGACAGCCACUCUCCCAUCUUGCUUCCACUUCUGGAUAUGGGCUUGGAAUGAUUUAAUUUUAUGCUAUAGUUGGUUUUCGGUACAACGUGGAAAAAAAAAACACACAAAGGUUUCCUUUCUCUUGUUUAAAAUAAAUAUAAUUUAAAUUAAUUUAAA